UACGAAGGGGGCUAGCGUUGUUCGGAAUCACUGGGCGUAAAGGGUGCGCAGGCGGAUUUUUUAGUCAGGGGUGAAAUCCCGAGGCUCAACCUCGGAACUGCCUUUGAUACUGGAGGUCUAGAGUCCGGAAGAGGUGAGUGGAACUGCGAGUGUAGAGGUGAAAUUCGUAGAUAUUCGCAAGAACACCGGUGGCGAAGGCGGCUCACUGGUCCGGAACUGACGCUGAGGUGCGAAAGCGUGGGGAGCAAACAGG
rnacentral:rRNA from 1 species